AACGAACGCUGGCGGCAUGCCUAACACAUGCAAGUCGAACGAGACCUUCGGGUCUAGUGGCGCACGGGUGCGUAACGCGUGGGAACCUGCCCUUAGGUUCGGAAUAACUCCCCGAAAGGGGUGCUAAUACCGGAUAAUGUCUUCGGACCAAAGAUUUAUCGCCUUUGGAUGGGCCCGCGUUGGAUUAGCUAGUUGGUAGGGUAAAAGCCUACCAAGGCGACGAUCCAUAGCUGGUCUGAGAGGAUGAUCAGCCACACUGGGACUGAGACACGGCCCAGACUUCUACCGGAGGCAGCAGUUGGGAAUAUUGGACAAUGGGCGAAAGCCUGAUCCAGCAAUGCCGCGUGAGUGAUGAAGGCCUUAGGGUUGUAAAGCUCUUUUACCCGGGAUGAUAAUGACAGUACCGGGAGAAUAAGCUCCGGCUAACUCCGUG
rnacentral:rRNA from 1 species